ACGCCUCAGACGCAUUAGCACAAGCUCCCCAGAGGACUCCUGGCCGCUUGCUGAUCACGUACAUUUCUACUGCAGGUCACUGGCUGUUUUCCAGCCGUGCCCUCUGGAUCGGGCUCUUCUUGGAAAGGUGCUGACUGCCGCCUUCCUCCUCUUCCUCUUCCUGAGAGGAAGCGGGUUACGUAGUAAGUAAACGCUUCCUUCCUGGGAUUUACCUUGGGGCAGAGUUGCCAGGGCAAUGGAGCGAGUGGGAAAACUCAAGGUUGCAGCCCCGGAGCAGAGUAGGAAGAGUUAACACCAUGCAGGGACGUCAGCACUGGGGGAUGCCGGGUGUCUGCAGGAUGCUAAUAGGAUACAGCCCCUCGCCCCUCUGGGUUAGCAGCUCGAUUCUGGCCCAGAACAGUAGUGACCAGAGUCUAGUGCUUCUCUGAUGAUUCCUAGAUGGCCACAACACAUCGCUAAGUGACCAUGUGACUGGACCCCAGCUGCCACCCUUGUCGACAGGAUCUGCAGCCAGGCCAAAGCUCAUGUUGACCUGGGAAACAAAUUCCUCCCCACACCGCACACGUCCCCAGGUGCGGGGCCUGCUGGCCUGGGUGGAGGGACAAGGGAGCUUCAUUUUUCCUUGGCUUCUCCACCUCACACAGAUUAGAGCGCAAUGCCCCUCUGGCAUGGCUGUCCCCACAGACGCGAGUGUGUCUACCCUGCAGUCCGAGGGGUGACUGCUGCACCUGGGGGCACCUCUGAGCCAGCUUUGGCCUUGUUAACUCCACUAACAUAGCAGUGAUGGGCAGCAGCCCCUGCUUCCUGCGUUCAGCGACUGUACUCUAGGGCCCUUGGCCAGCCAGAGCCACUGCCCCAGACAGCCAGCUGGGUCAGGGUGAGCCCUGCCAGGCCCAGACCAGGUGGGAGAUUUUCUUCUGUUGCUAAGCAUAAUGUCCCAAACAGGUAGCUGCUGGAAACCUUCCACCAGAGUAUUAACCCUCUCCCUGCCAAAUCAACUCCUCCCUGGCAUUACCAGGCGGCUGAUUCAUUUCUCAGUGGUGUCUAUGCAAGUUGCCAUGCCCUAUUGCUGUCUCUGGGGUGGAUUCCUGCAGGACUCCUCCUUGGUUGCAGAGCAAUGUAGCUGAUACAACGAGGAGUCCUUGUGGCACCUUAGAGACGAACACAUUUAUCUGGGCAUAAGCUUUCGUGGGCUAGAACCCACCUCAUCAGAUGCAUGGAGUGGAAAAUACAGGAGCAGCCCCACUUCUGUUUCCUGGUUUUCUUGCACCCUUCGCUGCCUGCCAACUUCUCUGUCUGCACCUCCGUCCCCACAGUCUGGGAAAUGAGUUCAUAGAUGGAGCUGCAGUGACCCCUGCUGGCCACGCCAAUGGAGCCCAGGCCUCUGAUGAGCUGUACCUACCAAACUCACCCACCUACUGAUGGAGCAGCUGACAGGGAAUUCCUGACCUGGCUCCCUGCCCCCUUCAUCCUGUCUCUCUGUGCUGUCUGCAUUGACCUUCACUUGGGGGAGAAGAGCUCAAAUAUAGGGUACAACGCACAUGAUUCUGGUGUAACACACACUGUGUCUGUGAGACCCAAUGGCCCUGGAGCACCCCCCUGAGUCCUGUGGGUUCGACCCUGAUGGUCAGACUCUUGCUCCUGGGGCUGGCAGGAGCUGAGCGUUUUGAAGAUGUGACGCCAUGACUUGCAGGAGAGAACUGGUCUAGUGGGUCUGCCCUGGCCCAGUGAUGGAGCAGCCUGAUUAAACCCUAUUAUCCUCCUGCGGGAGGCCUCUGGGCCUGACUGUGAGAUGGGAGGGAUGAGAAGACACGGAGGUAAAUGGAAGCCGAAGUAAGGUGAAAAUAAAGCGAUUCGCUGCACGCCCAUUCCCCCUGUUAAGCACCCGCCUUCUGCUCUGGGCAAGGUUGGAUCCUGUAGCUGACCCUGCUGGUCUGUGCUCUGGGACAUGGAGGUGAUGAGAGCAGGGAGCCCAGACCAUCUGUAGAGCUGGCUUGUGCCUUUCUGUGAUUCUGGACUCCGGCUGGAGCCUCCUGCCUCUGCUUGGCUGUGAAGAGGGAGGAGAAAUUUGUGUAAUAAUUUCUGACAAUGCUUGAACUCACCCCUGACUGCAGAGGUGGGGUGGGGAGACGGGAAAUGUCACAGAGCAAUUCCCUAACAUUUGUAGCUGUUUUAAAGUCCCAUGUCUCAGGCGGGCCUGGGGGGCAGAGCCCCCCUCCACACACUGUGCAGGAGCAUCUUUUACCCCACCCAAGAGAAGUGUCUGUGAGUGAAUAGAUAAUGUAGCAACUCAUCUGUUCUUACCAUUUGUCAUUGCAUGUGUUAUUUAUAAAGUGGCUACAUGGUUAUAGUCUGUCUGGGAAACCUGUCUCUGUAUCCAGAAGAGCCUGGAGACUUAAGGUCGGGGCACACGGUUUAUCUGGACACUAGGACGGUUCAUAGUGUAUUCAUACCCUUUGUGCUGGCUGGUCCCAUUUUGAAUUUCAGACUUUGCUGAGUCCCUUUGGAGUUCUCUGGACACCCACCCUGAUCGGUCCUUGUAAAACCAAGUUACACGCCCAGGGUCAGAUCUCCUGGGUCGGUCUCCCAGGCGCUGAGUGUACAGUCUGCAGGGACCAGGGGGCCUUGGCACAAGCAGGGGAAGCUGAGCACUACCCAGCUUGUUCUUGUGUCAAACUGGGGGAACUCCAUGUCCAGAGGGUGUGGGUGAUAAAUGGGCCCGUGCAAUUUCUGGAGAUAAUUUGAAGCCACCUAAAAGCCGGGCCCAAGGUGUUUACUGCCAGCAGAUGCUGCCCUGGGACUGCUUUGGGUUGGGCAUUGUAGUCCACUGACCCACGUGCAUCUUCUUCCAGCACCAAUGGCAACUCUGUCCCUACCGCCCAGGUAGGCUGACAUUUUCCAGAGACCCACAAUGUACAACACAACCUGCCUCCCUUUUGUGGCACCCAGGGGCAGCUGUUGGCAGAGGGAGGCCUGGCAGUGGGGGGCCAGUGGAGUCACCCCAUUAGGGAGCUGGAGAGAGCUGCGGAGGGCCCCAGAGCUGGUGCAGCCGUACAGAGCUUUCUGGCUGAUGGACCUGGCUUCUGGUGGAUACAGCGAGCUCCACAAUGUCUGGGGCCAAACCCACUGCUGCUUCUGUGGGGGGCAAAAGCCACUCUUUCCUCCACCCACGACAGAAGAAUUUAGAGGCAAUUCCCUGGGCCCCCCACAGGAUUUUAUGGCAGGAGGUUUUGAUCUGGCCAUUAGAUCUGUUUCUCUUGGCAAGUCCUAGGCAGGCUGUGCAGAGUCUGGAACCGGAUGUGGGUUGGAUGUUCAUGGCUGGAGGGUGGGGAGUCAGUUUUUGAAAAAUGAUUAAACUUGCAGCAUGGCUGCAAACCCCAAAGCUCUUGUGUCACACCCUUCGCGAUUACGCUUCAGGGACCUGUCACCUCGCUGCUUGGUGCUCACUGGACUGUUUCAUGGCAGACGUAAUUGAUCAAGCAGUUGAGAACCAGGACCUAUGCAAAUAGGAUGCCAGAAGCACAGAGAUGAAAACACAGUGUAGCAGAGGCUGAUGGAGCUUUAAGACUAGAAAUGGGACAAAAACAAAAACAGAGGCUCAAAUCCUAACCCAUGCACAUAUUUGAAGGGGGACAUGGUUUAAUACUUGUCCCCAUUUAUUUAUUAAUGAUCAUCAGGAUUAUGUUUACAGUCUAGAGCACAGCGCUGAAAUCUAGGCCUCAUGGUGUUAGGUGCUGUACAAACACAGUGUAAGAGGCAAUUCCCCGUCCGAAAUAAUUGACCAUCGAACUAGCCAAGUCAGACAAAGGCAAUUUCAAGAUGGGAACAGAGGCCCUGAAAGACUCAGUGACUUCCCCAAGGUCACAGAUAAUUGAACAUCUCCUGGAUCUGAAUCCCGUGCUUUUAGCACAAACCUUCUUUCUCCUCUGAUCCAAACUGGAUCCAAACUAACUCCCAAACCCAAACUCCAGCCUAGACCUAAUUCCCUACCCAGCCCAUCUCUAAUUAACAGAUCAGGUGGCGUGAGUGACCAUGUGCCGUCCCCCAAUGAGGCGUGUAUUGAAGGAGCCUCUCUGGUAGCAGUCACAGCCAGGGACUAGCUCCAGAACAGGGGCCUCCGGGCCCAGCUUUCAGAUGUCUCUUUGGACAGUGUUUGUGAACGUGAAGUGGCUGGUAAAUGCUCUGGUUUGGUGUUCGGGAGGGAGAUUUAAAGGCUGUCAGGGAAUUCCCUUCCCAAAGAGCAGCACUCUGCCAGGGCCCCUCUCUCCACCCUUCGAUACCCCAGCAGCGUUAGCAUGGCUGCUUAAGAUCAUAGCACACAAAGGGCUGGAUUACAUGAGGCUUCAUGAGAGAACAUGGGUCACCAGCUGCUUCACUGUGAGAAGUAAAAUUAAUGGUGGGAAAAAUAGUUAAGUCUGCCCAGAGGCGGAAGCAGGAAAUGUCACUAACGCAACCCACUUCCUUCUGCAUUAGGGGAAGGGCUGAUCCUGAACCUCAAACUUCUCAGUAUCUCUUUGGACAACAGAGAGCUGGCAAAGGCUGUGGUGCUGAAAGGUCGCCCCUCUGAGAGCAAAAUGGCUCUGUCAACCCCUGUGUCUGGAUUGACUCUUCCAUGGCUGGUGCUUCUGCUUUUCCUGGAAAUCCCUGGGGCUGGGGCCCAGAAGUUCCAGCUGCUGCAGCCCCAGGGCGCCGUGUCGGUGUCAGCGGGAGAGACCCUCACACUGACCUGCUUUGUGACUGGCCCUGCUCCAGUAGGACCCGUGAAGUGGUUCAAGGGCUUGGGCAAGGACCGGCAGCUCGUUUUUUCAGAUUUGGGAUCAUUCCCCCGGGUGACGCGGGCUGUGAGUGGCUCUAACACAGACUUCACAACACAUCAAUGGCAACGCCCCAAGGAGCGGGACUAUCGCUGCGUGAAGGUUAAGAAGGCGUCGGGACCCGAUGAGGAGAUCGGAUCCGGUGCUGGCACGAACGUGACUGUGAGAGCCAGCCCCUCGGCCCCGUCCGUGUCCGGCCCCCCCAGCGGGGCAGAGCCGGAUCCCUCAGUGACUUUCACUUGCACGUCAGGAGGAUUCUCCCCCAGAGAUAUCACUGUGACCUGGCUCAAAAAUGGGGCCAAACUCCCAGCCCCCGAGCCCCGCAUUCUCCCUGAACACGAGAGCGUCUCCUACAACAUGUCCAGCACCGUGGGGGUGAGCCUGACCCCAGGAGAUGCCCACUCCCAGCUUACCUGUCAGAUAAAGCACAGCACCUUACUGGCUCCCCUGCAUGGGACUUACAACCUCAGCGAUGCCCUGCGAGUUCCACCCAGGCUGCGAGUGGGCACUGACCCAGCAGCGCCCGUCACACUGAACGAGUCCGUGACGUUCACCUGCCACGCGGAGGGGUUUUACCCGAAGGAUGCGAGUCUCACCUGGCUGGAGAACGGAAAUGAGACGCAUCUUGGAAAAUCCUCCCCCCUGGCUGAGAAUCCAGAUGGGACGUACACGCUCCAGAGCUCCCUGGAGGUCAAAGCAACUGAACAGAGGAAUCGGUCCAUGUUCACCUGUCGAGUUGUGCAUGAUUCCCAGCCUCCUGUCAGUGCCAGCGAGAUGCUGAGAAUCUCCCAGCCACCUCCUGAGCCAGGCAAAGAUGAUACUUUAUCUGAUGCAGGUAAAUGUGCAGCUGAACCCUCCCCUGCACUGCUGGGAAAUGCCAGGUCUGUUCUGCUGAACCCAGGGGUCAUUUCAACCCAUCACCGGCAGUGGAGCUCCUCAGUGUAACAGCGACUCUUUUAUUCCAGGAUUAUUGCUCAACUCUGCUCUCCUGGGGCCCAUGGGUGCAGCAGGAAGGGGAAGGUUGAGGGCAGGAAAUGUCACUUUGACUGCACUCUGUGCCGAGGGAAGAUGCUCUCUGCAGCCCUGCAGAGUGUGAAUGCCCCUUAGAGAGGGGCUUGAACAUGGUGAGUCCUGCAGAGCUGGUGAUCCAAGGACUCCGGCACUGCUCAGGGAUUUGAGGCUUUUAAGUAAAAGUGCAGGUGGUUCCUGAGUUCUUAUUCUCCUGCUCUGCAAAGCUCGAGGUCUCCACUGUAGAGCCUGGGCCUCCUUGGGGCCAGCCAGCAGCAUGUGGAUACAGCUGCCAUGCAGAGCUGGGCAAACUCUGCAGAGGCCAUUUGCCAAACUGCUGUUCACAGAUAGGAACUCGCCAAGCCACAGGGAAGGCCAGUUUCCUCAGAGCCUGGUAAAGGUGCACGUGAGACAGGGUGGGAUGGCCGGGAAACAGCAGUUCUCUUGUCUGCUGGGGGUUUCUCUCCAUUGGCUGAUCUGAGGCAUUUACAUUGCAGGUCAGAGCCUGUUCUCCAGCCCCGCUCUCUGGAUCGGGCUCUUCCUGGAGAAGGUGCUGACUGCUGCCUUCCUCCUCUUCCUCUUCCUGAGAAGUAAAGAGUAACCAGCCCCUGGUCUAUUUCCCAGAUUUCUCACACUGUCACCACCUGCCAACUUCUCUGUCAGCAGCCUCUGUCCCCGCAGUCCAGGAAAGGAGUCCCUAUAUGGUGGAGCUGCCGUGACCCCUUCUGGCCAAUCCGAUUAAGCCCAGACCCCUGAUGGGACAUACCCACCGCUCACUCAUGCCUACUGAUUGCAAAUCCUGACAGGGCUCCCUGCUCCUUCUAGCCCAUUGGUUCUUAAACUUGGGAUCACGACCCAGUUGUGGGGGGGGGGUUGUGAGCCCAGACCCUGGCGCGGGGCUGCGAGCCAUGAGCCCCGACCCCUGCGUCAGGCUUCGAGCCCUGACCCCAACAGCGGUGCGUGGCUGCGAGCCCCAACCCCCACCCCAAUGUGGGGCUGCGAGCCCUGACCCCGAACCUGGCCAGGAGCAGGGCUGCAAGCUAUGAGUCUCGAUCCCUGUGCUGGGCUGCAACCACGACACCCGACCCUGACACCGGCGCGGGGCUGUGAGUCCCGACCCCUGUAUGGGGCUUCAGAGCUGCGAGCCCCAAUCCCAACCCUGGCCAGGAGUGGGGCUCUGAGCUCUGUCCAGGUGCAGGGCUGUGGGGCUGUGAGCCCUGACCCCGAUCCCCGUGCACGGCUGCGAGCCCCAGCCCUGGCCAGGCGCGGUGUUGUAAUUCCCAACCCAACCAGGAGUGGGGCUGUGAGCCCUGAGCUGGGGCAUCCAGGACGCUGUGAGCCCCGACCCCUGUCCUGGGGUGUCAGGCAGAGCCCAGCCAUGCUGAGGGUUAUCAGCCGGGAGCUCCGCCAGGCAUGAGGUUGUUAACCACCAGCCCUGCUACACACAGGGCUGUGAGCCCGGCCAGGCGCUUGUGAGCCCCCAUCACCACCAGGUGUAGACCUCAGAGCCCCAAGCUCCUCCAGCCCAGCUCCACCCCCAGCUCCACUCCACCUCCAGCGCUGCUCCACCCCCCAAAAACGGGCGCCAAAUAGAAGUUUGCCCAGGGCUCCAUUUUUCCUAUGGCUGGUCUGAUACUGAGACAACAUUAGAGGGCUUGAUUCUUUAGCAGCUGAACAGGUACUUUAUUAAUUAACAGUCAGACACAGAAGCGCAAACCUUCUCCUGAAAAUAAUGGCCACCUGUACUGGUAAAACUGCUAAAAAACGAAAGUAUCUUGUCUUACAUUAAAAUCAGUUUUCCAAUAUCAUUACCUCUGGUAUUGAAAAACUGCAAUGCCUCGUUUGCUGUGAAGUCUUCUCUGCUGAAUCAAUGAAACUGUGCAAACCGCAGCGACAUCUGGAAACUAGACAUCCUGAGCAUAAAAACUGAAGUGUGGAGAAGAAGCAACGAAGGCAGCCGGGCUUGAUGCUGAUGGAAGUUUCCGACAGCAAAUGUCCUCAACUGUGGAGGCCUCUUAUGUUGUGUCACUACGAACUGCCCGUACCAAAGCGGUGCGUACAGGAGGUGAGGAGCUUAUUCUGCCAGCAGGCAAAGAGAUGGAGAUUGGCAAGGAUACUGCCAAAAACCGGAAUAUGCUCUCCAUGUCUAAUGACACUGUGAAACGCAGAAUAUGUGAGAUGUCUGAAGAUAUCAAAAAACAAGUUGUGCAUGAAAUUAAACAUUCUGCUUUCAGUAUAUUCAGCCUGCAAUUUGAUGAAACUACUGAUGUUACUCACUGCACACAACUGGUCACAUCCGUACGGUGUGUUAAUGCCUGGGAUGUUAAGGAUGAGUUCUUAGUCUGCGAACAAUUUGAAACAACCCAACAGCACAGGACAUUUUCAAUAAGGUGAACACCUUGUUCGAAAGCAAUGACAUUGAGUGGAAGAAUCUUUGUGGUAUCUGUACCGAUGGUGCUCCAGCAAGGAUGGGUGCACAAUCUGGCUUUCAGCAGAAGGUAAAGUGUGUCUCACCUAAUGUGAUUGUCACUCAUUGUGGAAUCCAUCGUCAAGUCCUAGCUGCAAAGACAUUGCCAAUAUGCCUUAAUGCUGUGGUGGAUGUUGUUAUACGAGCAGUGGACUACAUUAAAGCUCAUGCUCUGAAUAGUCAUCUCUUUCGAGGGCUCUGCAAUGAAACGGGAAGUGAAUAUGAAGUUCUGCUUUUCCACACUCAAGUCUGAUGGCUUUCUAGGGGAUGCACAUUAAAGCGCCUUUUUAUAUUUGGUGAAGAGACGGCAGAAUUUUUCCUGCGAAGAGAGAAACAAGAGCUGAACAAAAUGUUCAGUGACAAGAAAUGGCUUCUCUGCUUGGUAUACCUAGUUGAUAUCUUUGAUAGCCUUAAUGAUCUCAAUCUGUCACUUCAGGGAAAACGUUCAACAUUAAUAGACCUGACUAAUAAAAACAGAGCCCUCCAGAUGAAGUUGGAUCUGUGGUGCAGGAAGCUGGACACAGAUAGAUACGGAAUGUUUCUGACACUUUCCUUGUUCAGCGAGGAGGUGGAAGUUAAUGUGGAUAGUGCUCUCAAGUCAGUGAUCAGUGAACAUUUGAGAGCCCUUCACAAAGAGUUCUCACACUACUUCCCAGUGCUACCAGAAGCACUUCAUUCCCUGGUGAAGAACCUAUUCAGUGUAACAGCCGAGCAGUUAUCUACUGACGAUAUUCACGCACAGGAACAGUUUGUCGACAUUAUCAAUGAUGAUGAAGUGAAAGCAAAAUUCACACAGCUGCCUCCAAAUCAGUCCUGAUGCUCAGUUGCAAGUGGAUACCCACUGGUGUCUGAAAUGGCCCUGGGAAUCCUUCUGCCAUUUCCCACUACCUACGAAUGCAAGGGUGGAUUCUCCAGCCUUCUCACAAUAAAGACAAAAUCUCGAAACCGGCUUGAUGAGCUCGAAACGACAUCAGAUGCACCCUUUCUAAAACAAAACCAAGAAUAAAACUUCUUGUGUCAAAUAAACAGCAUCAUCCAUCUCACUGAUUUUUGACUGCUUCAGGUCAUUAAUUGCUGUCAAUUAUUAAAAUAAAAUUCUACUUAAAAAUAA